GACGAACGCUGGCGGCGUGCUUAACACAUGCAAGUCGAACGGAAAGGCCCUGCUUUUGUUGGGUGCUCGAUUGGCGAACGGGUGAGUAACACGUGAGUAACCUGCCCUUGACUUUGGGAUAACUUCAGGAAACUGGGGCUAAUACCGGAUAGGAUCUCCUGCUGCAUGGUGGUGGUUGGAAAGUUUCGGCGGUUGGGGAUGGACUCGCGGCUUAUCAGCUUGUUUGUGUGGUAGUGGCUUACCAAGGCUUUGACGGGUAGCCGGCCUGAGAGGGUGACCGGCGACAUUGGGACUGAGAUACGGCCCAGACUCCUACGGGAGGCAGCAGUGGGGAAUAUUGCACAAUGGGCGGAAGCCUGAGGCAGCAACGCCGCGAGCGGGAUGACGGCCUUCGGGUUGUAAACCGAUUUCGCCUGUGACGAAGAGUGAGUGACGGUAAUGGGUAAAGAAGCAACGGCUAACUACGUG
rnacentral:rRNA from 1 species